UUAAGUGAAUAAGGGCGCACGGUGGAUGCCUUGGCACUAGGAGCCGAUGAAGGACGGGACUAACACCGAUAUGCUUUGGGGAGCUGUAAGUAAGCUAUGAUCCAGAGAUUUCCGAAUGGGGAAACCCAGCAUCUUUUAUAGGAUGUUACGUCUGCGUGAAUACAUAGCGCAGUCGAGGUAGACGCAGAGAACUGAAACAUCUAAGUACCUGCAGGAAGAGAAAGAAAAUUCGAUUCCCUGAGUAGCGGCGAGCGAAACGGGAAAAGCCCAAACCAACAAGCUUGCUUGUUGGGGUUGUAGGACUCCGAUAUGGUAGUCUAUUCAGAUAGUCGAAAUACUUGGAAAAGUAUGUCAAAGAGGGUAAAAACCCCGUAGGCGAAAUUUGGAUAACACCUAGGAGGAUCCUGAGUACGGCGGAACACGAGGAAUUCCGUCGGAAUCCGGGAGGACCAUCUCCCAAGGCUAAAUACUCCCUAGUGACCGAUAGUGAACCAGUACCGUGAGGGAAAGGUGAAAAGCACCCCGGAAGGGGAGUGAAAUAGAUCCUGAAACCGUGUGCCUACAACAAGUUAGAGCCCGUUAAUGGGUGAUAGCGUGCCUUUUGUAGAAUGAACCGGCGAGUUACGAUAGCAUGCGAGGUUAAGUUGAAGAGACGGAGCCGUAGCGAAAGCAAGUCUGAAUAGGGCGAAUGAGUAUGUUGUCGUAGACCCGAAACCAUGUGAUCUACCCAUGUCCAGGUUGAAGGUGCGGUAAAACGCACUGGAGGACCGAACCCACGUACGUUGAAAAGUGCGGGGAUGAGGUGUGGGUAGCGGAGAAAUUCCAAACGAACUUGGAGAUAGCUGGUUCUCUCCGAAAUAGCUUUAGGGCUAGCCUCGGAAUUGAGAAUGAUGGAGGUAGAGCACUGUUUGGACUAGGGGCCCAUCUCGGGUUACCGAAUUCAGAUAAACUCCGAAUGCCAUUCAUUCAUAUCCGGGAGUCAGACUGUGAGUGAUAAGAUCCAUAGUCGAAAGGGAAACAGCCCAGACCACCAGCUAAGGUCCCCAAAUAACUAUUAAGUGGAAAAGGAUGUGGGGUUGCACAGACAACUAGGAUGUUGGCUUAGAAGCAGCCACCAUUUAAAGAGUGCGUAAUAGCUCACUAGUCGAGUGACCCUGCGCCGAAAAUGUACCGGGGCUAAAUAGUUUACCGAAGCUGUGGAGUGCACCAUAAGGUGCAUUGGUAGGAGAGCGUUCUAAGGGCGUUGAAGGUAGAUCGUGAGGACUACUGGAGCGCUUAGAAGUGAGAAUGCCGGUAUGAGUAGCGAAAGACAGGCGAGAAUCCUGUCCACCGAAUGACUAAGGUUUCCUGGGGAAGGCUCGUCCGCCCAGGGUUAGUCGGGACCUAAGCCGAGGCCGACAGGCGUAGGCGAUGGACAACAGGUUGAUAUUCCUGUACCCGUUGUUUUUGUUUGAGCAAUGGAGGGACGCAGGAGGCUAAGAAGUGCAGACUGAUGGAUAUGUCUGUUCAAGCAGUAAGUCUUGGUAGGAGUCAAAUGCUUCUACCUAUACGGACAAGCUGUGAUGAGGAGGGAAAUAAUAGUACCGAAGCUUCUGAUGUCACACUGCCAAGAAAAGCUUCUAGUGAGAAAACAACGGCCCGUACCGCAAACCGACACAGGUAGUCGAGGAGAGAAUCCUAAGGUGAGCGAGAGAACUCUCGUUAAGGAACUCGGCAAAAUGACCCCGUAACUUCGGGAGAAGGGGUGCUGCUCUAACGAGCAGCCGCAGUGAAUAGGCCCAAGCGACUGUUUAUCAAAAACACAGGUCUCUGCAAAAUCGAAAGAUGACGUAUAGGGGCUGACGCCUGCCCGGUGCUGGAAGGUUAAGAGGAGUGCUUAGCGUAAGCGAAGGUACGAAUUGAAGCCCCAGUAAACCGGCGGCCGUAACUAUAACGGUCCUAAGGUAGCGAAAUUCCUUGUCGGGUAAGUUCCGACCCGCACGAAAGGCGUAACGAUUUGGGGCACUGUCUCAACGAGAGACUCGGUGAAAUUUUAGUACCUGUGAAGAUGCAGGUUACCCGCGACAGGACGGAAAGACCCCAUGGAGCUUUACUGUAGUUUGAUAUUGAGUGUCUGUACCGCAUGUACAGGAUAGGUAGGAGCCGUAGAGAUCGGGACGCCAGUUUCGAUGGAGGCAAUGGUGGGAUACUACC
rnacentral:rRNA from 1 species